CCUACGGGAGGCAGCAGUGGGGAAUAUUGGACAAUGGGCGCAAGCCUGAUCCAGCAAUGCCGCGUGAGUGAUGAAGGCCUUAGGGUCGUAAAGCUCUUUUACCAGGGAUGAUAAUGACAGUACCUGGAGAAUAAGCUCCGGCUAACUCCGUGCCAGCAGCCGCGGUAAUACGGAGGGAGCUAGCGUUGUUCGGAAUUACUGGGCGUAAAGCGUACGUAGGCGGUUAUUCAAGUCAGAGGUGAAAGCCCGGGGCUCAACCCCGGAACGGCCUUUGAAACUAGGUAGCUAGAAUCUUGGAGAGGUCAGUGGAAUUCCGAGUGUAGAGGUGAAAUUCGUAGAUAUUCGGAAGAACACCAGUGGCGAAGGCGACUGACUGGACAAGUAUUGACGCUGAGGUACGAAAGCGUGGGGAGCAAACAGGAUUAGAUACCCUGGUAGUCCACGCCGUAAACGAUGAUAACUAGCUGUCCGGGCACUUGGUGCCUGGGUGCGCAGCUAUCGCAUUAAGUUAUCCGUCCGUCGGGUAGGUACGGUCGCGAAGAAUUAAAACGUUAAAAGGUAAAGUUAGUACGGCGUGAGACGUGCCGAACGGACGACGACGAGGGAGGUAGG
rnacentral:rRNA from 1 species